ensembl:misc_RNA Y_RNA Y RNA
GGCUAGUCCUAGGGUAGUCAGUUAUCUCAACUGAUCACAGUCAGUUACAUAUUGAACUCCUUGUUCUAAUCUUUUCCCCCUUCCCACUACUAAACUUGACUACUCUUAA